UUCGACCUGAACUCAGACGUGAACA
rnacentral:rRNA from 1 species